ensembl:lncRNA
CUUUUGGAGAUUUAUUUACAGAACAGAGGAUUCAUUACUUCUGUUUUUGGUUUUGGGUGCAAACUUGUUGUCUGCAGAGACUGUCUUUGACACUGCUUCUGGGUGUGAAACGUGACUUCAGGCAAGGGGGAAGGCUAUCUAGCUGGACAUUUGGAAUUACGCUGUAGCAGAGGAGAACAUUACACCAGCCUCUUGAGUGCUAUAUGCCUAUUCAUGGACAAACUAACGCUUUUUUAAUGAGAGUUUCUGAGGUUGCUAUCCAAACUACAUUCCUUAUCCCAGAUCUCAUCCUUAGCACAACUCCCAAAGGUAUUUGGGAGUUUGGAUGCAGACAUAUAUGUGAAUCCAGGGCUCGAUCAGGUCUCACUGAAGUCAAUAACAAUAUAGUUGUUGCUGAAGAGAUAUCCAUGAGGCUCAAAGGAGAAGUAAAAGCCAUCCAAGAAAAAGCGAGAGAUGAAUUACAGGUUCUUCUUUUCAUCAAAACACACCUUACACUUCUCUGUCUCUCUCCCCCUUUUAAAACAGAA